rnacentral:tRNA from 1 species
GCAGGGCGUGCCGACUGGUGACGGCACGUGGCCCACACCCACGGCAAGGAGGGUUCGAUUCCCUCGCCCUGUA